GGAGGAGAGCUGGUGGGAGCACCACCUUGUGGCAGUCCAUAAGAGAGCCUAGAGUUCAGGUUUGGAACUAGCGGGCUUGAAGUAGCUCCCCAGGGGCCUCAGGUCUUAGCUUCAGCCACAAGCCCAGUUUUCUGCUGUUGGUAAGAGCAGCCCUACAUGUGGUCUGAGAGCUUGUGUGCUUUGCACAUCACUGACUGGAGGCUGGACCAGGUGUUCUCUGGGAAAAAAAAAGACCGAGCCGUGCCUUCAAGGAGCUGCUGCUUAGGGAGCCAAAGCUUGGCAGGGGCCAAGAGGAGACUGAUGGCAUCGUCUUAAGUUACCGGAUGACUUCACGUAUCCCGAGAGGCAGUUGCAAGGACAGUCAAUUCCCCCAGGUGGGCCCCAGACUUUUACUUAAUGUCCUCUAUUCUACCACACCAAAAAUCCUGGUUUCUGAUACCUAUAGACGCUCUCCUUUGAUUUCCCCAUGGACAUACAUAAAGCUCUCAGCUACUUCUCCACAACUGUGCCUGCCUUCCACUCUCCCUGCCAUGAUGAUAAUGGAACAAUCGUCUGCAAUUAUUCUCCUCUGAUUUUAAGAUUUCUUUCAACUUAUUGCUUUGGAGUCUGCAGUGCUUAAAAACGGUCUUCAAUUUCUUUGCCUUCCUGAAACUGCACCAUUUCUCUUUUAAAGUACAGGUUGUCAUGCAGAGGUCCUGAAGAAGAUAUGACAGCAAACGAGGAAGGAAGAAGGAAAUAGGAAUAGGAAAGAUGGAUGGGUUGACCGAGACGAAGCCAGAGACACAAAAAGGAAAUGAAUACCCCACGGUCACAAGAAACCAAAGAUGAGAUAUACGGUGACAUUAUCAGAAGGCAGAGAAUGGAAGACAAAAGACAACUUAAGCCAUUUUCUGGUCUGUUAAGUCACCCUGGCAGCACAAUGCGUUGGGAAAUGAUGUCUGCCUGUGAUCAUUGUUUACUUAGAAAGCUGGCUGACAUGAGCCGAAAUUAACACAAUAGGAUGGAAAAUUGCUAAUAAAACAAAAAUCCCUGCC
rnacentral:lncRNA from 1 species